rnacentral:lncRNA from 1 species
GAAAUUAUAAUAUGUUUAGCGACGGAGGGAGUUCAAGUAUCCGGACCGACAAAUGGCUCAAAAGGUUUGAGUGAUGCUAGCCCAAGAAAAAAGAAGUCCGAUAUUCAGGGCUAGUUUGGCUAGGUAAGUUUGGAGCAGAGAAAGCUGGAGCGGAGUAAUAUAAUUUGGAUAUAUCAGACGUAAAUCAGAGAAUUUAUUCAUACAUAUACAAGUAUUAUUAUUAGUAUUCCAAUACAUGUGUGGGAUCUAUCACAGUUAAUUAACAGUUAUACCGAGAAUCAUUGUUCACAUGCCUUUAGAUACGAGCUGGGUGCUGGUGCGGUACAGCUUGAGCCAAAGCUGCUGCUGCACCGAUUCACAUUCUAGCUAGCUUCGUGUUCUAACGUAAGCUUGAAACACGAAAGUACGUUUGUACAUCACUAAUUUGCUUCUAAUCUAAUACUGUAGACAAAGCAUAUCAAACAUUAUUAAUGACCGGAAUCUGACUCUACAAAAGAAAUUGGAGCGUUGUAUAUGACACGAUCCAAAUGUGAAUGAUUCCCAUUUUAUUAAGACCGGCCGUAAAGAGAGCUGAAGUUCAAGGGGAAGAAAAUUAAUUCAGCCCGAUCUGGCCCAACCUGAACCCCUAGCCCAUCAUGAAACAUGUGAGAAAUUGGCCUGUAGACCUUGUUAGACUGGGCCAGAUAAUAAUUUCCUGGUUCCGGGAACUUUUGUAUGAGUCCAUACGAUGACAAGUUUUUAUUUUAUUUUAUUUUAUUUUGCCGAUGUGUGGCUACUGGCUAGCCCGAGGAUUGGUACGUCGGUUCCGUUUGAUAGUGGUGUAGUACUUCCUUCUCCAGGUCUUGUUUAGAUAUAUUUUUUUUUAUUUUGACACUAUAACACUUUUGUUUUUAUUUAACAACUAUUAUUAUCCAACUAUAGAGUAACUAGGCUUAAACGAUUUGUUUCGCGAUUUACAGAUAAAUUGUACAAUUAGUUUUUGUUUUUAUCUAUAUUUAAUGUUUUAUGUAUGUACUGCAAGAUUCAAUGUGACAGAAUUUAAAAAGUUUUUGGUUUUUGAGUGAAGCCGUCGUUCUGGCAGUUUAUUUAUAUGUCUCUUCCAUACAUUCGGACGCACCUUAUGUCUAAAUUUAAAGAAUCUUUAUUGUACUCGGUGAAAAACUAAAAUGACACAUAAAUGACAGGAUAGAGGAAGUAUCUAUUUUGCCUUUGAGCUGGCUUUUAAAAAAUUGAAAAACUGAGUGCUGAGUCUAUACCUAUUUAUAAAGAGCCAAAAUUUCAGUUUGCUAAAUUUUCUUCUGCCCCUCAUCCUAUCCGUCCUGUCCGUGUUCGGUUCACUGAUGCCUCCGUCCAACUUUUCUAGAAGGGGAAAAACAAAAUAAAAAACAUUCUAAGGGUCCUAAUGCAAAAUCUCAUAUUACCGCUCUCGUUACAAUGGAAGAGAGAAAAAAAAAUAAAAUUUUUUUUAAGGUUCCCAAUGUAAAAUCUCCAAUUUACUUUUCUUUUAUUUUUUAAAUCAGCUGAAAAUUAAUAAAUACAUAGUAAUUCAUUGAAAAAUCUAAAAAUUAUAAAACAAAUUUUGUUCAGCUCCACAUAUGUACAUCCAUGCAGUAAACAAAAAAUAUCGCAAAUUUUAGUACACUUUUUUUUAAAUGCUUGCCUAUGCUUUCUACUGUAAAAUUAAAAUUAUAGUUAUCUUGCUCCAAUUAUUAUAAAAAUUUAAUGGUAGCCUAUUUAAUGUGAUGCUUGAUUCAUAUUUCAUAGCAAUCCUAAUCUAAAUUAAAAAAAUAAUGCUAGCAUCAAAUUUCUCAUGUUUUAAUAUAAUACUGAGGCAUAUUAAGAGGUAAUAUUAGAGUGAGAUAAGAUUUCUAUUUUCUAUUUUUAUUAUUAAAUAAAUAUGUUUUUAAGCUACAUAUUAUUGUAAAUAUUAACUAUCUCAUACCAUAGAUGUUACGGUUAUCAAUAAAAUAAAUUAUGGACUUUAAAUUUUAUAAAAAGGAUAAAUAUAAAUAGAUAUGUAACAUUAUGUCAUCACUUUCUAGGGUUAUUUGAUGUUUUUCUUCCGUUGC